GUUCAAAAUGCAAACCAAAGAGUCAAGAGUAUCAUAGAAAGGUAAACCCUGGGACAGAGUUGGGAGGGGAGUAGAGGAUGGGAUGCAAAAGAUGCCAAAUUCUGAAGUCCCUAGAGAAGAUCUUGGGUGAAGCCAAAAAGCCAGAAAAACAAAGAUUAUCCACCUCAAUCUUCAACAACCACCACCCUGAUAGUCAGCAGCCGUCAACAUCCAGUCAAAACUCUCCACCAACAAAAAGAUUAAAACUCUCUGAAGGCUCAGAUGAUGAUUAGCGUUUUUUAGCAAUAAAGGAUUUUAAUUAAGGUAACCCAGGAGUUUUUAAAGGGACCCAAUGCAAGUGCUCAGCAGCAGCAGCGGCAACAUUCACUCUGCAGGAAUUAAUGAGUGGAAAGUGAAAGAAUCAGCAACAUAGGGGCAGCAACUGAAAGCAGAAAAUGAAAAUGAAAAAUCAAAAGGAGAAAAUGAAAAAAAAAUCUGAGUUGCAGCAAAGAAGGGAGAUAAGCAAGCAUCUCAGACCACAGGGUUGAGACAGAAGCUGUCACUUGGUUGUACUCACAUCUUUAAGAAAUGCAAAAAUUCAACCAAGUGCUACCUAGGAACCUCUAUCAGCAAGUACCUAGCAUUCCAGCAGAUGGGGAUGUCUAUACAUAAAAGAGAGGUCUCUGAUCAGUAAUGUGAGACGUGAGACUUUCCCACACUUCACAAUGGUGCAGCCUAAAGAUGGAUUUUCCUUUAUGGGUUAAGACUCAUCUGAAGAUACCACUUGUAGCUUCCCUCCAACAUCUCUGCCCUCCAGCUUACUUCAGAACAAUGCAUGGUUUCACAGUUUCUCCUUACUCUUCUUGUCCCUGCAGUAAGUAUAGGGUCCUGAUAUUUUGAAAAGAGAUUUUAUUACCAGAAACAAUGGAUAAACCAAGAGGUAAUAAAUUAACACUGGAGAUUAUGGGUUUUAAAAGUCCUGAAAUGAUGCUUUUUGAACACCUCUUCAAGUUUUCCUCAUCUUACCUACCAUUUAUAUUUUGCUCUGAAAGGAAAGGCAAAAGUCAUAUUUUUAUAUAAAUAAA